UACAGAGGGUGCAAGCGUUGCCCGGAUUUAUUGGGCGUAAAGCGCACGUAGGCGGCUUUGCAAGUCGGAUGUGAAAUCCCUCGGCUCAACCAAGGAAGUGCAUCCGAAACUGCAGAGCUUGAGUACUUAAGAGGAUCGCGGAAUUCCCGGUGUAGAGGUGAAAUUCGUAGAUAUCGGGAGGAACACCAGUGGCGAAGGCGGCGAUCUGGGAAGAUACUGACGCUGAGGUGCGAAAGCGUGGGGAGCAAACAGGG
rnacentral:rRNA from 1 species